GGUGAACGCUGGCGGUAGGCCUAACACAUGCAAGUCGAACGGCAGCACAGUAAGAGCUUGCCCUUACGGGUGGCGAGUGGCGGACGGGUGAGGAAUACAUCGGAAUCUAAUUUUUCGUGGGGGAUAACGUAGGGCAACUUACGCUAAUACCGCAUACGAUCUACGGGUGAAAGCAGGGGAUCUUCGCACCUUGCGCGAUUGAAUGAGCCGAUGUCGGAUUAGCUAGUUGGCGGGGUAAAGGCACACCAAGGCGACGAUGCGUAGCUGGUCUGAGAGGAUGAUCGGCCACACUGGAACUGAGACACGGUCCAGACUCCUACGGGAGGCAGCAGUGGGGAAUAUUGGACAAUGGGCGCAAGCCUGAUCCAGCCACACCGCGUGGGUGAAGAAGGCCUUCGGACUGUAAAGCCCUGUUAUUGGGGAAGAAAAGCAGCAGAUGAAUACCCCGCUGUUCUGACGGUACCUAAUGAAUAAGCACCGGCUAACUUCGUG
rnacentral:rRNA from 1 species